rnacentral:rRNA from 1 species
UCGGAUUCACUGGGCGUAAAGGGAGCGCAGGCGGGAUAGUGUGUUAGGUGUGAAAUGCCGGGGCUUAACUUCGGAGCUGCGCCUAAAACUAUUAUUCUAGAGUGCUGGAGAGGUAAGCGGAAUUUCCGGUGUAGCGGUAAAAUGCGCAGAUAUCGGAAGGAACACCGAAGGCGAAGGCAGCUUACUGGACAGAAACUGACGCUCAUGCUCGAAAGCGUGGGGAGCGAAAGGGAUUAGAUACCCCUGUAGUCCACGCCCUAAACGUUGUACACUAGGUAUUGGAGGAAUCAUCCCCUUCAGUGCCCCAGCUAACGCGAUAAGUGUACCGCCUGAGGACUACGACCGCAAGGUUAAAACUCAAAGAAAUUGACGGGGGCCCGCACAAGCGGUGGAGCAUGUGGCUUAAUUCGAUGCAACGCGAAGAACCUUACCUGGGUUUGACAUGUAUUUGAAUAUAUGUGAAAGCAUAUAGUCCUUCGGGACAGGUACACAGAUGCUGCAUGGCUGUCGUCAGCUCGUGUCGUGAGAUGUUCGGUUAAGUCCGGCAACGAGCGCAACCCUCGCCCUAUGUUACCAGCGGGUAAAGCCGGGGACUCUUAGGGGACAAGCCUGUAUACAGGCGGGAAGGUGGGGAUGACGUCAAGUCAGUAUGGCUCUUACAUCCAGGGCUGCACACGUGCUACAAUGGCCGACACAGAGGGAUGCUACGUCGCGAGGCGAUGCGAAUCUCGAAAAUCGGUCUCAGUUCGGAUUGGAUGUCUGCAACUCGACUCCAUGAAGCCGGAAUCGCUAGUAAAGGCGUAUCA